AGAGCGCAGGGUGGAUGCCUUGGCACUGAGAGCCGAUGAAGGACGUGAUAAGCUGCGAAAAGCUUCGGGGAGGAGCAAAUAUCCAGUGAUCCGGAGAUUUCCGAAUGGGGAAACCCGCUAGGAAAGACUCCUGUCUCCAUACAGCCAAUCCAUAACGUUUUGUAGGGAACCCGGUGAACUGAAACAUCUAAGUAGCCAGAGGAAAAGAAAGAAAACUCGAUUUCCAAAGUAGCGGCGAGCGAAAGGGGAGGAGCCUAAACCGUGGUGCGUGCACUGCGGGGUUCGGACUGCAAUAAGUGACUUUAAAGAUAGUAGAAUGGUUUUGGGAAAGCCAGCCAGAGAGGGUGAAAGCCCCGUACACGACAUCAAAGAAGAGCGAGCAGUAUCCAAAGUACUACGAGACACGAGAAACCUUGUAGGAAGGAGGGGGGACCACCCCCUAAGGCUAAAUACUCCUUAGUGACCGAUAGCGCAUAGUACUGUGAAGGAACGGUGAAAAGAACCCCGGGAGGGGAGUGAAAAAGAACCUGAAACCCUGUGUUUACAAGCUGUGGAACAACUAUCAAAAGUUGAACCGCGUACUUUUUGUAGAACGGUCCGGCGAGUUGCCGGUGCUGGCAAGGUUAAGUACUGAAGGUAUGGAGCCGAAGGGAAACCAAGUCUUAAUAGGGCGUCAAGUCAGCAUAGGCAGACCCGAAACCGGGUGAUCUAUCCAUGUCCAGGAUGAAGUUGCCGUAAAAGGCAAUGGAGGUCCGAACACACAUCCGUUGAAAAGGGUGGUGAUGAGGUGUGGAUAGGGGAGAAAUUCCAAUCGAACCCGGAGAUAGCUGGUUCUCCUCGAAAUAGCUUUAGGGCUAGCCUCGAUACAGACUAACGGAGGUAGAGCACUGAAUUUCCAAGGGGGCGUCAAAGCUUACUAAGGAAUAUCAAACUCCGAAUGCCGUAUAGCCGAUUAUCGGGAGUCAGACUGCACGAGAUAAGUUGGGUAGUCAAAAGGGAAAGAGCCCAGACCAUCAGUUAAGGUCCCAAAGUGCGUGUUAAGUGGAAAAGGAUGUGGGAUUUCGAAGACAACUAGGAUGUUGGCUCAGAAGCAGCCAUACAUUCAAAGAGUGCGUAAUAGCUCACUAGUCGAGAGGUCCUGCGCCGAAAAUGUCCGGGGCUAAAACACGACACCGAAACUAUGGAAUGAAUUAUCAUUGGUAGAGGAGCAUUGAAAGAGCGAUGAAGCAGUACCGGAAGGAGCUGUGGAGUUCUUUGAAGAGAGAAUGCCGGAAUGAGUAGCGAGAUGGAGGUGAGAAUCCUCCAGGCCGAAUAUCCAAGGUUUCCAGAGUAAAGCUGAUCUGCUCUGGGUAAGUCGGGACCUAAGGCGAGGGCGAAAGCCGUAGUCGAUGGCCAACAGGUUGAAAUUCCUGUACUGCUGUAUAACAGAACUGUGGGGACACAGAGGGAAAGCACAAGCCGGGAGAGGAAAGACCGGUGCAAGCGAGGUAAGGUGAUAGUAGGAAAAUCCGCUGUCUGUAACCUGAAUACGUGAUGCGGAGCGAAGUUUUAGUAGCGAAGUGUGUGAGCCAGCUGUCAAGAAAAGCCGCUAUUGUUUGUACAGUACCCGUACCCGAAACCGACACAGGUGGAUGAGGAGAGAAUCCUAAGGCCGACGGAAGAAGUAUUGUUAAGGAACUCGGCAAAAUGACUCCGUAACUUCGGGAUAAGGAGUGCCUUCAAAAGAAGGCCGCAGAGAAUUGGUCCAAGCAACUGUUUAGCAAAAACACAGGUUUAUGCAAAACCGAAAGGUGAAGUAUAUGAGCUGACGCCUGCCCGGUGCUGGAAGGUUAAGAGGAGUGCUUAGCGCAAGCGAAGGUGCGAAUUCAAGCCCCAGUAAACGGCGGCCGUAACUAUAACGGUCCUAAGGUAGCGAAAUUCCUUGUCGGGUAAGUUCCGACCCGCACGAAAGGCGUAAUGAUUUGGACGCUGUCUCGACAAUACAUCCGGUGAAAUUGAAAUACCAGUGAAGAUGCUGGUUACCUGCGCCAGGACGGAAAGACCCCAUGGAGCUUUACUCUAGCUUGAUACUGGGAUUCGAUAUUGCAUGUACAGGAUAGGUGGGAGACUAAGAAGUGAUGACGCCAGUUGUCACAGAGUCGCUGUUGGGAUACCACCCUUGCAGUAUUGGAUUUCUAACCAGCAGCCGUUAUCCGGCUGGGGGACAAUGUCAGGUGGGGAGUUUGACUGGGGCGGUCGCCUCCGAAAGAGUAUCGGAGGCGCUCAAAGGUUCCCUCAGAAUGGUUGGAAACCAUUCGAAGAGUGCAAAGGCAGAAGGGAGCCUGACUGUGACACCGACGGGUGGAACAGGUACGAAAGUAGGACUUAGUGAUCCGGUGGUAUAAAGUGGGAUUGCCAUCGCUCAACGGAUAAAAGCUACCCUGGGGAUAACAGGCUUAUCACUCCCAAGAGUUCACAUCGACGGAGUGGUUUGGCACCUCGAUGUCGGCUCAUCGCAUCCUGGGGCUGUAGCAGGUCCCAAGGGUUGGGCUGUUCGCCCAUUAAAGCGGUACGCGAGCUGGGUUCAGAACGUCGUGAGACAGUUCGGUCCCUAUCCGGCGUGGGCGUAAGAUAUUUGAGAGGAGCUGUCCUUAGUACGAGAGGACCGGGAUGGACUGACCGCUGGUGUAUCUGUUGUCUUACCAAAGGCAUGGCAGAGUAGCCAAGUCGGGACGGGAUAAACGCUGAAGGCAUCUAAGCGUGAAGCCCCCCUCAAGAUGAGAUAUCUCAACGUAAGUAUAAGACCCCUUGA
rnacentral:rRNA from 1 species